rnacentral:tRNA from 3 species
GGCGGCGUAGCUCAGUUGGCUAGAGCGGGUGAAUCAUAAUCACUAGGUCCGGGGUUCGAGUCCCUGCGCCGCCACCA